UAACCAAUACCCAUUUAGGCCCAUGUGUUUGAUUCAUUAGCCAAACAAAACAAAAAGAAAUGGAAAUGCAGGUGCAAUAGGCAAUGUAAAGGUUACAGUAAAUCAAGAGCUACCAAAAACGACGCACACGCCAAAACUUAAACACAAACGGCGUCAAAGUGUCAAAACGCAAUUACACCAUAACAAACAAAACUAAGCUACAAUAAAAUUGCAAAAGCUGCAACAAGCGCAAAACCCAGCUCCAGCCAAAAUGCAAAGGCAACACACGCAUCAGCGGUAAACGACGAAAAUCAAACCAAGAUUUCCAAAACGCAGAAACAGCAGCUAGUUGCAAAAUAAAUCAAAAUCAAAACGCAGUACAAGCCAUCUCAAAUGCGAGCCAUACAAGUGAAGCGUAGUCAGAUUAAAAUGCAACUCAUAGCAUACAUUAAAACGACAAUGAGCUGCGAAAGCCGGAGCAUAAACGAAAAGCAAUCUGAAACGCAGCGAAAGCUAUCAAAACGCAAACUUCAAAACUUUUAUAAAUACCUUGGUUAACGGUGAAGAUGGCUGGCCAAGAUUUUUCCGCAAUUUCUUCUUCCACUCUCUUAUACUUCCACCACCGAUAACAACUGUAACAAACUUUUUCCUCCAUAACCACAGCCACACCUCAUUCGCCAUCACAUCCUUCAUCACCCCCGCGAUCCACUUCAACCUCACCUCUCCGCGUACAACCUUCAACGGAAUUGCUUCAUCAACACCAUCUUCUUCUUCACGCAAACAACCUUCAACCUCACUUUUUCAAUUGCCUAUAACCACCACACAAUGCAUCCAAUCACAACAAUGAUAACAUGGAAUCAAAGCUUACAACAUAGAAGAAGGAGAAGGAGAGAUUCGGGAUAACUCGUAUCAGAGUUCGCGUUCUUCGUCCUCUUCAACUCUACACGGUCGCCAUCGCUGGUAGGAAUUAGGAAUUUCUAAUUUAUGCAUUGUUAGUUCAUCUGUUGUGAUGUGAAUCGCGGUCACUGUCUGUUUACGUUUUUCAUUCGUCACUCGAUUUUUCCGUCGAAGAUCCGCAUCGCGUUGGAUUUUGAUUUGGUUACGUCGAGCAUUUUCUUUCGGUUUCGAUUAGGAGAAUAGAGAGGAGACAGAGUGAUAUGCGUCGUCGAUUGGAACCGCCACCGCCGGUGGCAAAAUCCGGCGCGGCUAGGUUCAUCGCCGCAUAACCUAUUUUUCCCCCUCUUCUGGUGAGUGGCAUAGCGUGCAGGUGAGGAAGGGGAUGGAACCUCAGGUUACUUAUUAUUCUUUACCUUGGGCUUAAGUGAGCCUAAAUGACAUGCUGGUUAUCAUACUUCCUGGACCGUACCCCCUCCAUUGGCCUUGCACACCCUGUUUGGGCAUCAAGUGAGCCCAAAUGAUGAUCUGGCUACUGCAAACCACUACCUUGGCCAGUACCCCCCCUGUUUGGGCUUAGGAAUGGAUUUUAGGCCCAUGCUAUUUUUUGAAGUCCACGUUACCUUGUUUUUUUGGUGUUUAGGUAGUUAGGAUUAGUUUAAUUAACUAGGAUUAGUUUUGAAUAUAGUUUAGAAUAUUGUUUGAUUUUAAUGUAGAUUUAAUUUUAGAAUUGGUUUUGGUUAAAUUGUUUGUUAAUUAGAAUUUUAAUGUUGCUAAUUAGAUUUGAUUUUUGAAUUUUAAUUAGUUUAUUUGUUAGAAUAUUAGAUUGUUGGUUGAUUUUAAUAUUUGUCUUGAUUUU
rnacentral:lncRNA from 1 species